AAGUCGUAACAAGGUUUCCGUAGGUGAACCUGCGGAAGGAUCAUUAAUGAGUUUUAACGAAGCUGUUCUGGUCUCUAGGGGCAAGUGAACGCUUCUCUCAUCCAUCUUACACCUGUGCAUCUUUGGAGAAUACUGUGGGUAAAAGCUGGAUAACGGCGGUAAUCCUUAGUAUUCUCUUUACACCAAACAAUAAGUUUUAGAAAAUCUUUGCUUGAUGCAAACUAUAUACAACUUUCAGCAACGGAUCUCUUGGCUCUC
rnacentral:misc_RNA from 1 species